rnacentral:rRNA from 1 species
CCUACGGGAGGCAGCAGUGGGGAAUUUUGGACAAUGGGCGCAAGCCUGAUCCAGCAAUGCCGCGUGAGUGAAGAAGGCCUUCGGGUUGUAAAGCUCUUUUGUCAGGGAAGAAACGGGUCUUUCUAAUACAGAGGUCUAAUGACGGUACCUGAAGAAUAAGCACCGGCUAACUACGUGCCAGCAGCCGCGGUAAUACGUAGGGUGCAAGCGUUAAUCGGAAUUACUGGGCGUAAAGCGUGCGCAGGCGGUUUUGUAAGUUUGUCGUGAAAUCCCCGGGCUCAACCUGGGAAUGGCGAUGAAGACUGCAAGGCUAGAGUUUGGCAGAGGGGGGUAGAAUUCCACGUGUAGCAGUGAAAUGCGUAGAUAUGUGGAGGAACACCGAUGGCGAAGGCAGCCCCCUGGGUCAAAACUGACGCUCAUGCACGAAAGCGUGGGGAGCAAACAGGAUUAGAUACCCUGGUAGUCCACGCCCUAAACGAUGUCUACUAGUUGUCGGGUCUUAAUUGACUUGGUAACGCAGCUACGCGUGAGUAGACCGCCGUCGGGAGGUACGGUCGCGAGAAGUUAAACGUUAACGAAAGUAAGUAGACGNGAGAGAGCGACGACGACGACGACGGAGGAGAGG